UACAGAGGGGGCAAGCGUUGUUCGGAAUUACUGGGCGUAAAGGGCGCGUAGGCGGCCUGUUAAGUCGAACGUGAAACCCCGGGGCUCAACCCCGGAACUGCAUCCGAUACUGCGUGGCUAGAGGUAGGUAGGGGAGAUCGGAAUUCCUGGUGUAGCGGUGAAAUGCGCAGAUAUCAGGAGGAACUCCGGUGGCGAAGGCGGGUCUCUGGGCCGUAACUGACGCCGAGGAGCGAAAGCAUGGGGAGCGAACAGG
rnacentral:rRNA from 1 species